rnacentral:rRNA from 1 species
UACGGGGGGGGCAAGCGUUGUUCGGAAUUACUGGGCGUAAAGGGCUCGUAGGCGGCCAACUAAGUCGGACGUGAAAUCCCUCGGCUUAACCGGGGAACGGCGUCCGAUACUGGAUGGCUUGAGUUUGGGAGAGGGAUGCGGAAUUCCAGGUGUAGGCGGUGAAAUGCGUAGAUAUCUGGAGGAACACCGGUGGCGAAGGCGGCGACCUGGUCAGAUACUGACGCUGAGGCGCGAAAGCGUUGGGGAGCAAACAGGA